CUACGUGCCAGCAGCCGCGGUAAUACGGAAGGUCCAGGCGUUAUCCGGAUUUAUUGGGUUUAAAGGGAGCGUAGGCCGUGGAUUAAGCGUGUUGUGAAAUGUAGACGCUCAACGUCUGAAUUGCAGCGCGAACUGGUUCACUUGAGUAUGCGCAACGUAGGCGGAAUUCGUCGUGUAGCGGUGAAAUGCUUAGAUAUGACGAAGAACUCCGAUCGCGAAGGCAGCUUACGGGAGCACAACUGACGCUGAAGCUCGAAGGUGCGGGUAUCAAACAGGAUUAGAUACCCUGGUAGUCCGCACAGUAAACGAUGGAUGCCCGUUGUUAGUUCACUUAUGAAUUAGCGACCAAGCGAAAGCAUUAAGCAUCCCACCUGGGGAGUACGCCGGCAACGGUGAAACUCAAAGGAAUUGACGGGGGCCCGCACAAGCGGAGGAACAUGUGGUUUAAUUCGAUGAUACGCGAGGAACCUUACCCGGGCUUGAA
rnacentral:rRNA from 1 species